UGGGAUCAAAGCUACUUUUUUGAGAAACUUCACUAAUUGUUAAUUGUCUGCAGGCACUUUUUGGCCGCGCUUCUCCUCCAAAGAUGUGAGGGGGAACACAGCAGCUCAGGACCUGCAGCCCCUGCCGUGAGCUCUGCCGACAGUGGGCUCACCAGACCUCCAGGGCUUCGUCUAGUUCUACAGUCUUGGCGGAGGGAUAUGGAGGGGAGAGAUGCUGCAGGAGACCAGGAGAAACUAGGGGAUGGCCAAUGAUGAAGAGCUAUUCCCCUUGGGAUCUGAGACCCUGGGAGUAGAUUCUUGACUGCAAGGUGGCGAUAUCUAUUCAUGCCACCUCAUCCUUUGCCCUCUUUGAAGACCUUCUCCAUUCAUCUAGUACAAAAUGCCAAACCUGCUUGCUUACUAACCUGAAUGAAAAUCUACAUCGGCCUCACCAUCCCCACCCUGCAACUUUCCCUGUGGCCGACCCCCUCUGAGUGGCUGACUCCCAAGCCUGGAAGACACGAUUCUACACGAGUCAGAGAACACUGAGCUGGUUCCUAGACCGGAUGCAGCACAAA
rnacentral:lncRNA from 1 species